ACAAAUGUAAGUACACGAUUUUAUCGCCUGUCCGACCCGCAGCCCACGCCCAUCCCUGACCGACCCCAAAUUCCCUGGCAGUCAAGAUUCCCGCCGGUGCGCCCGCUUAAGCAUCCCUAGGUGUCAGGCUGGGACGCGCCCGGGUCCGCUAGAGACUCAAAAGCAUCUCCCGCCGCGGGGCGGGAUCUGGGUGCCCUAGCCCUGGGCUCAGAGGCGGGUAACUUUGCUAAUCUCCCCCAGCGGCGGGGCGGGGGUGGGGGGUGGGGGGGACGUCGCACAACCGCUGAGCCCUGUCCGUGAAGACUAAACAAGGAAAGGAACAGGCUGUAAACACACAUCCUGACACGUGAGUGACAUUUACACGGUGCGAGAAGCCGCAGCCGAGGGGAAGGCAGGGGGUAGGGGGAGCAGGUAAAAGUAAUAUUCCGAGGCGUCGGAAACGGCGGGCCCUCGACGCCCCUCCCCCAGAUAGGGAAAAAGAAUCCCGAAAUCCCCAGAACCUGCCUUUUGUGGGAGGUGACAGGUGAACGGGAUUCAGGUCUGGCUACUCACGCCGCUGCCUACCUCCCCACCAUCUGCUUCCUCGCAGACAAGCAGACCCGGCGCAUAAUGAGGUAGCAGCCUCCAGCCGGCCACCGUGACUAACUCAGAACAAAAGCGCUCCCUCCACGCCUCUUCCAACAAAGGGGCCACCAGCCCCGGCGCUCCCCGAAGGCUGCGGGGCUCCCGGCUGCCGGCUGCGGAGCUGCCGCGCGCAAACUUCCCGGGGCUCCCGGGGCUGCCGGCGCCACGGAGCCUGGGCCGCGGAGGGAGGAAGCACACGCGGCCCAGAGAAAGUGAGGCCGGGCGGGGCGGGGGACGAGGGGGUGGGAUCCGGGGAGCCGCGGAAGGAGGGUGAUUGAUCAGUGCGCUGUUCCCGGCGCUCGGUCCCGUUAUUAGAGGCGGCCAAAGCAGGGCCACGCAAUAACCUCCGAAUCGCCAACUAAUUGACGCUGCAGGCAACUACUUCAUUGUGCGCGCUGGUUUUAUGUCUUCAUAGCCGGUGAUUGACAAGGUGUAAUUAGUCAUCUCACUCGGUGAUAAACAUGGGCACCCUCCUCCCGCGGCAUCAGGCCGUGUGUACCAGCAGAGGAAGCGAUAGUUGACGCUGAUAUACCAUUAAAUCAAAAUGAAGACGUUCAGAAGUGUGUGUUUGCUGUGACGCUCUGAUGGUUUAUUUCUCAAAUACGGCACCAACAGAUUUACUUGAUUUGCAAGUUAACUACAACAUUAACUGGUUUUAUUUAUUUUGCCUCUUCCUUCCUCUUCCUAGGCAGGGAUGUUGCUCUUGGAGAAUGUGAAGACAGUUUGCUUCUUGACAAGCGAGCGAGCGGGCGCCCAGAUUUUUGCAGCCUCUCCGAGAGUCUCCCCCGAGGGAAAGGCAGGCAGAGAAAUCGCCGGAUUUGGGAGUCACUAGGGAAGGAUUCCGCGCGGAGGGAGCCGCCCUCCUUGGCCCCAGACCGGCUGCCUAGGGCCCCCCCUUUGGGCACUGCCAGCGGAUGACCUGAAACUCUGAGGAUGGUCUUGGGGAUUGGGGUCGGGGAAGCCUCUCGGAUAAUAACUGCAAAUAGAAAAAGAGGCAAAAACAAUUUCUUCUCUGCCUUGAAGCAGAAAGGACUGUGUUCUUAAAGCCGCUGGUUGCAGUCACAAGGCCAGUUGCCUGCCUCCGUUGCCUGCGUAAAGUGUAAUGUCGCCGGUUUUUCCAGUAGCACCAUUCAACAAAUUAUAUUCCUUGCUCCCGGGAGUGGGUCCUGCUUAGGGGAGUGUGUGUGUGUGUGUGUGUGUGUGUGUGUGUCCCUCUACAGUGAGGCUGCUACUAGAAGUGCUGGUUAACUCCUUCCAGAAACCUGAAGGUUUAAAUUUUAAAAGAAGAGGGAGCAUUGCUCCCUGGGAUUGCUAUAGUCUGUCUUGACCCUAAUUCUGGUUAGAGAAUGGCAGGGACUGAACAAAGCCACCAACAUCUGAAAGUCCACUUCGAAGGUAUCACACUAGCCCCCAGGAUCCGCGCCCCCCCCCCCCCCCCCCCCCCCCCCCCCCCGCCGCCCUCCAGUGGGGUAGGCUUCCUGCACUUUCCCCUUUCUAACCUCUGUCUCCUGUUUAUACAGCAGAGGGAUUAAUGGUGGUUCUUUGCCACUGCGCAGGAAUGUGGGGUUGUGGACAUCUUCAAGAAAAGAUGGGGUGAGGCCAAGUCACAGGGAUGGCAGAAAAGCCCCGUAUCUUCAACAAGGAUUCCCCCCUCCCUUCCCAGGCCUGUGGGCCUCCUUCAGCAAAGAGGGGGAGUGUUUUAUAUUGAUGUGAGAGGCUGUCAGUCAGCAGCAAAUCAGCUCAGGCAUGGCUACCUCUUUAUGAAAUCAGCUCAUUGCCUUGGUCACACCUUAGAGAAAAUCCGGUGGUCGCCGCUAUCGAUAAUAAAAACUGGUGGGGCCUUAGUUGUUUCCAAGAAGAACCUCAUGUCUGUGGACAGAUAAAUGCCCAUCUCAGGCAGAGAAAGCCCAAUUCUUCCUUCCCUUCUCCCUGCAGCGAUCUGAACAAUUCCGAAACCGCCUCCCUGGGCGUCAGCUGAGCAGGUUGGGGGAACUAACCAGGGCCCUCUCUCUAGGGCCCUGUUAAAUGCACAGAACUUAAAAUGAAACACGAAGUGUGAAUUUCAGGUUUGAACAUGAUGCAUCAGGAUACGUGGAGGCUGGCAGCCCCUUUCCUCCCUCCUGCAUUUCGGUAGCAGGUAUUAAUAUUGUAUUAAAUGUUAUGAGGAAGUAAGGGCUGCGGAGAGGAAUAUGCUCAGAUGCAAUUUUGUCAAGGUUUUUAUCUGUGAUUAUGAUUCCAGAUGUAGAAACUCCCGGAGGAGGGAAAUGAGGGGCUGCUGGCGUGUGACAUGUGUUUUAAGGUGUUUGGCAGUGUUUCUCAAAGUGGUGACAAAAUGUUCAAUUUUAUUACAGCGAAUCGGUAAAAAAAAAUAUGAAUACUAGGUCAGAGACGGUUCACCCCAGCAAACGGAUUUACCCUUAUUGAUUUGGGUGGGGAAAGUUUGUAUCUGGGUCCUGCUUAAAUCACAUUGUCAACAAUGUAAAUCUGUCAUAUCAGAUUAUUCUUAAAGAACACUUGUAACAAAAUACACAAUAGCUGAUUG
rnacentral:lncRNA from 1 species